GGCUGUGGAUGGUGAGUUCAGGAUCCUGAGGGCACCAGGGAGGGUGGAAAGCUCCAGCCUGGACCUCUGCAGGGGUGACACAGCCCUGGGGCCCAGGUGGCCCUGCCUGAGCAGGGACUGGGACAGAGCCCCCCCAAAGUCCCCUCCAGCCUCAGCCAUUCUGUGACUCUGCGGUGUCACAACUGUAACUAAACCAAAAUCCUUGCUCCUGGUGUGUUUUUAUAUUUUUUUUUUCUGUGCUCUUAAAACACAUUUACCACCCAUCACAUCUCGUUUAACUUUCCUUUUAUUGUUGGUUUGUUUUUUUGGUUUUUUUUGGUUUUUUUUUUUUGGUGUUUUUCUACUUUUAUUUGGAACUCAAUGUUACGAGUCACUUGUAAUAAUUUUACUGCUGUAAUAGUCAGAUCUGUGAAACAGAAUAAAAGUCUUGUAAAAUAAAAA